UCCAAGUUGUGAAUCUCUGAUACGACAUUCCGGCAUCUCAUUUCUGUGACACAAGCUAUACUCAUGUUCAUUUCUUGAGCCGGAUGAAAACACCAUUCAUAACAAAUAGCAAAGCAAUAAAUGAAAACAAAUUAAGAACUAGUUUGUCUACAUAGGACUUUGCGACUAGGAGCGUUCUCUUGCAUGUUCCCUGCUGAUACGGAUUUCUUAAAGGGAAAUUAUAAGAGCACAUAACCAUGGAUAAAUAGCGGAUGUAUGCAAUGGAUAUAUCCAUCUUCUUUGGCCUUUUUAUUUACCUUUUCACAGUUGUAGCUGGACGCUCGGUCCUAGAAAGAAACUGCCGUGACCUGUGGAAUUACCAAAGCAUCCGCCAUUCAGGAAGCUACCAGAUCGACGUCGAUGGCGAUGGUCCCCUGUCUCCCAUCUGGGUCGAGUGCGAAAUGGGAGAUGGCAGAGAUCCUCA